rnacentral:pre_miRNA from 1 species
AAAAUACUCCCUUCGUCCAAAAUUCUUGUCUUAGAUUUAUCUAAAUAUGAAUGUAUCAAGUCACGUUUUAAUAUUUAGAUACAUCCAUUUCUAUACAAACCUAAGACAAGAAUUUCGAGACGGAUGAAGUAUGCA